GGCGAACGCUGGCGGCGUGCUUAACACAUGCAAGUCGAACGGAAAGGCCCUGCUUUUGUGGGGUGCUCGAGUGGCGAACGGGUGAGUAACACGUGAGUAACCUGCCCUUGACUUUGGGAUAACUUCAGGAAACUGGGGCUAAUACCGGAUAGGAGCUCCUGCUGCAUGGUGGGGGUUGGAAAGUUUCGGCAGUUGGGGAUGGACUCGCGGCUUAUCAGCUUGUUGGUGGGGUAGUGGCUUACCAAGGCUUUGACGGGUAGCCGGCCUGAGAGGGUGACCGGCCACAUUGGGACUGAGAUACGGCCCAGACUCCUACGGGAGGCAGCAGUGGGGAAUAUUGCACAAUGGGCGGAAGCCUGAUGCAGCAACGCCGCGUGCGGGAUGACGGCCUUCGGGUUGUAAACCGCUUUCGCCUGUGACGAAGCGUGAGUGACGGUAAUGGGUAAAGAAGCACCGGCUAACUACGUG
rnacentral:rRNA from 1 species